rnacentral:rRNA from 1 species
GACAGAGGCCUCAAGCGUUAGGCGGAAUCACUGGGCUUAAAGCGUGUGUAGGCGGACGCCUAAGUGUCUUGUGAAAUCCCUCGGCUUAACCGGGGAACUGCGUCUGAUACUGGAUGGCUUGAGUUUGGGAGAGGGAUGCGGAAUUCCAGGUGUAGCGGUGAAAUGCGUAGAUAUCUGGAGGAACACCGGUGGCGAAGGCGGCAUCCUGGACCAACACUGACGCUGAGGAGCGAAAGCCAGGGGAGCAAACGGG